AGAUGAAUGAACACAGUCUCUGGCAAAAUGGUGACUUUGCUUUUUAACACCGUCGAACUGCCAAAAUAUUUUCCACAUGAGUUGCACCAUGUUGCAUUCCUACCUGCAAAGUAUGGGAGUUUCACUCUCUUCAGAUCAUCACCAACCAUUGUUAUUUUCUGUUAUAGUUUUUGACAUGGCCAUCCCAACCCUUGAUGCUACUGUUUGGAAGUUUGAAUUCUCAAGAAUCAUGUUGAAAUUUGAGCUCCAAUGUUGAAGAUGAGGAAUAAGUGGAGAUGUUUGGGUAAUGGGGGCAAAACCCUCAUGAAUGGCUUGGUGUCAUGUUCAAGAUCCUUUGAGUUAUAGCAAUUUUAUUAUGUUCUUGCGAUGUGAUCUACUCUCUGCUGUGCUUCAUGACAGUCCUGGAUCUUUUCCUCAUGACCAAAGCAAUAUGUCAAGGAGUAAUUUUUUCAAUUGCUCCCAGAAAAUAGAUUCUGUCUGUUUGUAUGUGUCAGAGGAGAUCACAUCUUACCAAAAGAAAAAAAAGAUCAAGAGAAGAUGAAAAGAACAAAAAUGUAAAUAUAUAGUAAUACAAUUAAAUAUUAUUUUUUACAGUCUCUGAGGGAACAAAACUAUUCGCUAUGUUGAUGGGGAUUUAUUUUCCUUUUGCUUAAUUAUAAAAACGUGAAAGAUAUUUCAUUGACAUAGAAAUUGAUAGUUUCAGGAAUAUCAGAGUAGAUAGCAAUGAAUAUAAAGAAAACAAAAAUGGCAACUCAUUUAUCUUUUCUAUGAAUAUACUGUUAUUUCUACUUUUACUUCUGGUACUACUAUUACUUUAAAGACAAUGAAGAUAAUUACAACUACUACC
rnacentral:lncRNA from 13 species